rnacentral:rRNA from 1 species
UACGUAGGGGGCUAGCGUUGUCCGGAUUUAUUGGGCGUAAAGAGCGUGUAGGCGGCUUGGUAGGUCUCGCGUCAAAACCUGAGGCUCAACCUCAGUUCGCGUGGGAAACCACCUAGCUAGAGUCCGGAAGAGGAGAACGGAAUUCCCAGUGUAGCGGUGAAAUGCGCAGAUAUUGGGAAGAACACCAGUGGCGAAGGCGGUUCUCUGGGACGGUACUGACGCUGAGACGCGAAAGCGUGGGGAGCAAACAGG